UUCUGCAGGCAGCAGCUGCCCUCGAAGGGCUUCCCUGCAGGCAAGAGAGGGGCACUGGAGGCAGCCAGCAUGGGGCCCACAGGCCAGAGGCUCCUGAAGGCCCCUGCACCAGAAGACCCAGCCCCCUCAGUAUAGGGUUCCCACAUGGGCCCCAGAGCCCAGCCUAGGGCAGGAGUGGGGCAGGUCUGCUGAACUCUCCCCGCACCGCUCUAUUCUCCCCUAUGGUCCACUUCCACAGUAAGGGGAGAGGAACCCACAUUUAUCGAGCACUCACACUAUACACCAGACGUUGUGCCAGGCACUUUACUUACAGUGUCUAAUUGUAUCCUCCCCCAAAUCAUAGAAGCGCAGCAUUAUUAUCCCCAUUUUACCGGUAAGGAAGUUGAGACCCAGAGAGAAGUGACCUGCGCAAGGUCACAUCCUUAGAAGGUGGUAGAACUAGGAUUCAACCCAACUGUUUCCAUCGAAAUCCCACAAUCUUUAUAGCCCAGGCUUAGGACUUUAAAAAAUAAAAUCAUCUCCUGCCCCCUCUCAAAAUCCCUACGAACCUACCUACCCAGGCUGAUAAAUGGCUGUACCAUCUGACCAGCUGCUCAGACACAAGUUGGGAAUCUUGUUCUCACACCCAGUCCAUCCCUGCCAAACCCAGCUCCAGAAUUCCCUCACAGGCACCCAUCUCUCUCCAUUCCCAGUGCUGCCACCAUCUCUAGCCGGGGCCACACGGCCUCCCUGCUCUGCUCCUGCCACCACACGAUUCAGGCCCAGGUUCGUCUUUCCAGGAGGCAAAUUCCUGUCCUUGAGUCAUCAUCAGCUUCUGUUUGCUCUCAGACGCUGCUCAGCCCAGUCUCCCACCUGCAGGAGGGCCUCCCUCUUUGCUGAUGUGUGCAGUUGGUGAUCAGGCUGUUCCCUUCUGGCGGAAGGCUCCCCAGGCCAAGCACCCUCUGUCUGUCUCCUCAUCGCUCAAAACGGAUUGGUCCCGUUUCUUAAAAAGUUAUCAGUGGCUCUCUACUGCCUUCAAGAUCAAGUCCAACCUGGACCUGCAAGGCCCUCCUCCAUCCAGUCUUCCGCACAGGCCACUCCAGUCAGGCACAACUACUUGCAGCUCUGUGAAUGGACUGGACUCAAGCCCCCACAUCUCUCGGCCCAGACUGCUCCCUUUCAGCUUUCCUGCGCCUGGCUGCCUCCUCCGUACCCAUCAGCCCUGACCACCCCUCCCCAGUCUGCCGUCUCUCACUCCCCAGUACCUUUCUGCCCUCUGCGCCAGUGUCCACGUGUGCAGGUCACCGUGCUGUCUAAGGUGCUCUUUUCCCCCCAGGGCCCAGCACAGAGCCAGGCUUGAAAGCAGGAUGUUUUGCCGGGACUUCUUUGAUAUGGGGAAUUUUUCGGCACGGUCAUUUUAAUACAUCAAAAUUUUUUGUUUCUAGUAAUGAAUAAACUGACUCCCCACAACCUCCUCUGUUUGCUUAAGGUGGAGCUGGGAUGGGAUAAGGAGGCCUGUGGUAGAUUUUUUAAGUUUGUUUCAGGCCUUGUCACAAUAUCCCUGAGGUCACAAUGGCUGCAUCAGUCCAUCCUGUGCCCUUGCGGGGAGGAGGUACAACCAAGGACUGUUGACUGGAUGAAUGAAAUGUGACUUUGAUGCUGCGCCCCAUCAAGCGGGGGUUGCUACAUUGUUGGGGGGAGGGGGUCCCUCAAGCAUCUAGUGUGUCCCCCAGGACACAGGCAGCACUCACUCCUGAGGCCCAACAUGGAAGUCCCCCCAACUGCUCCUGCCUCCCCAGGCAUCUCCCAGCCCCGAAAGGGGGCUCUUCACCACUGACCAAAACUCUCUGUGAUAGCAUGGAUCCCGCAGAGUUGUGUGCAGGGUGCUGAGCUCCUCAGGGGAGGCUCCAUCUCAUUCAUGGUCAUGGCAAGGUGCCAAGUGCAGGCCUCACUUGGAAUCAGCAGCCAAGAGCUACUUGUCAAGCUGGAUUACAUGCAAGCCAGUCUCAAUUCUCAGAUUUACCCCCUUUCCCUACCUGUUCCCUUCUCCUCCCCGACCCCCUUCUCAGGGCCCCCUUACCAGGCCACCCGGGACAUGGCAUACGUGACUCGGCAUGUCUGGGCCCCCUCAAGGAGGGAACCCAUGCCCACAGUGUAGGCGCCCAUGUUCUCAAAGACCAGCCAGUCCCCUACGUGUAGUUGCGGCAGCCACAGGCCCUCAGCUAUGCAGUCACAGCCAUCGACCACGGGGCCCCACAGGCUGCUGCUGUACAGGGGCUGCUCCAUGGAUGAUUUCUGCAGGAGACAGGGAUAGUCACAUUGAGCGCAGCCUUAGCAUUCCUCCCUCAAAAGCUUUCCAUGGCUCCCAUAACCAGUUUAAUAAAGACUGGAUGGGCACGUAAGGCCCUCCAGCUUCUCUGCGCU